rnacentral:pre_miRNA from 1 species
AUAAUACUCCCUUCGUCCGAAAAUAUUUGUCAUCAAAAUGGACAAAAAAGGAUAUAUCUAAAACUAAAAUACAUUUAGAUACAUCCACUUUUAUUCAUUUUGAUGACAAGUAUUUCCGGAUGGAAGGAGUAGAUG